rnacentral:rRNA from 1 species
AUUGAACGCUGGCGGCAGGCCUAACACAUGCAAGUCGAGCGAGCGGCGGACGGGUGAGUAAUGUCUGGGAAACUGCCUGAUGGAGGGGGACAACUACUGGAAACGGUAGCUAAUACCGCAUACCAUCAGAUGUGCCCAGAGGGGAUUAGCGAGUAGGUGGGGUAAAGGCUCACCUAGGCGACGAUCCCUAGCUGGUCUGAGAGGAUGACCAGCCACACUGGGACUGAGACACGGUCCAGACUCCUACGGGAGGCAGCAGUGGGGAAUAUUGCACAAUGGGCGCAAGCCUGAUGCAGCCAUGCCGCGUGUAUGAAGAAGGCCUUCGGGUUGUAAAGUACUUUCAGCUGGGAGGCGUUACCCGCAGAAGAAGCACCGGCUAACUCCGUGCCAGCAGCCGCGGUAAUAC